UACGGGGGGGGCAAGCGUUGUUCGGAAUUACUGGGCGUAAAGGGCUCGUAGGCGGCCAACUAAGUCGGACGUGAAAUCCCCAGGCUCAACCUGGGAACUGCGUCCGAUACUGGAUGGCUUGAAUCCGGGAGAGGGAUGCAGAAUUCCAGGUGUAGCGGUGAAAUGCGUAGAUAUCUGGAGGAACACCGAUGGCGAAGGCAGGUCUCUGGGCCACUACUGACGCUGAGAAGCGAAAGCAUGGGGAGCGAACAGG
rnacentral:rRNA from 1 species